ACCCGCACAAGCAGCGGAGCGUGUGGUUUAAUUCGUUGCUACACGAAGAACCUUACCUGGGUUUGACAUAUAGGUUGUAGGGAACUGAAAGGGACCGACCCUUCGGGGAGCCUAUACAGGUGUUGCAUGGCUGUCGUCAGCUCGUGUCGUGAGAUGUUCGGUUAAGUCCGCUAACGAGCGCAACCCUCGUCGUAUGUUAUAUGUGUCAUACGAGACUGCCGGUAAAAAGCCGGAGGAAGGUGAGGAUGAUGUCAAGUCAGCAUGACCUUUAUAUCCAGGGCUACACACACGCUACAAUGGUCUGUACAAUGGGUAGCCAAGCCGCGAGGCGGAGCCAAUCCUGAAAGCAGGCCUCAGUUCAGAUUGCAGUCUGCAACUCGACUGCAUGAAGCCGGAGUUGCUAGUAACCGCAGGUCAGCAAUACUGCGGUGAAUACGUUCCCGGGUCUU
rnacentral:rRNA from 1 species